rnacentral:rRNA from 1 species
GACGAACGCUGGCGGCGUGCUUAACACAUGCAAGUCGAACGGUAAGGCCCUUCGGGGUACACGAGUGGCGAACGGGUGAGUAACACGUGGGUGAUCUGCCCUGCACUUCGGGAUAAGCCUGGGAAACUGGGUCUAAUACCGGAUAGGACCACUGCCUGCAUGGGUGGUGGUGGAAAGCUUUUGCGGUGUGGGAUGGGCCCGCGGCCUAUCAGCUUGUUGGUGGGGUGAUGGCCUACCAAGGCGACGACGGGUAGCCGGCCUGAGAGGGUGACCGGGCACACUGGGACUGAGAUCCGGCCCAGACUCCUACGGGAGGCAGCAGUGGGGAAUAUUGCACAAGGGGCGCAAGCCUGAUGCAGCGACGCCGCGUGAGGGAUGACGGCCUUCGGGUUGUAAACUGCUUUUAUUGGUGACGAUUAUGACGGUAGCCAAUGAAUAAGGAUCGGCUAACUCCGUGCCAGCAGCCGCGGUAA